rnacentral:rRNA from 1 species
CAGUCGCCACGGUAAUACGUAGGUGGCAAGCGUUGUCCGGAAUUAUUGGGCGUAAAGGGCUCGCAGGCGGUUUCUUAAGUCUGAUGUGAAAGCCCCCGGCUCAACCGGGGAGGGUCAUUGGAAACUGGGAAACUUGAGUGCAGAAGAGGAGAGUGGAAUUCCACGUGUAGCGGUGAAAUGCGUAGAGAUGUAGAGGAACACCAGUGGCGAAGGCGACUCUCUGGUCUGUAACUGACGCUGAGGGGCGAAAGCGUGGGGAGCGAACAGGAUUAGAUACCCCUGUAGUCCCUGUCUCUUAUAC